rnacentral:rRNA from 1 species
AGGACGAACGCUGGCGGCGUGCUUAACACAUGCAAGUCGAGCGGAAAGGCCCUUCGGGGUACUCGAGCGGCGAACGGGUGAGUAACACGUGAGUAACCUGCCCCUAGCUCUGGGAUAGCUCCGGGAAACCGGGAUUAAUACCAGAUACGACCACUUUAGACAUCUGUCGUGGUGGAAAGGAUUCCGGCUAGGGAUGGGCUCGCGGCCUAUCAGCUUGUUGGUGGGUAACGGCCUACCGAAGGCGACGACGGUA